CCUUACCAACGUUUGACAUCCCUAUCGCGGAUCGUGGAGACACUUUCCUUCAGUUCGGCUGGAUAGGUAACAGGUGCUGCAUGGCUGUCGUCAGCUCGUGUCGUGAGAUGUUGGGUUAAGUCCCGCAACGAGCGCAACCCUCGCCUUUAGUUGCCAGCAUUUAGUUGGGUACUCUAAAGGAACCGCCGGUGAUAAGCCGGAGGAAGGUGGGGAUGACGUCAAGUCCUCAUGGCCCUUACGCGUUGGGCUACACACGUGCUACAAUGGCGACUACAGUGGGCAGCCACCUCGCGAGAGGGAGCUAAUCUCCAAAAGUCGUCUCAGUUCGGAUCGUUCUCUGCAACUCGAGAGCGUGAAGGCGGAAUCGCUAGUAAUCGCGGAUCAGCAUGCCGCGGUGAAUACGUUCCCAGGCCUUGUACACACCGCCCGUCACACCAUGGGAGUUGGAUUCACUCGAAGGCGUUGAGCUAACCGUAAGGAGGCAGGCGACCACAGUGGGUUUAGCGACUGGGGUGAAGUCGUAACAAGGUAGCCGUAGGGGAACCUGCGGCUGGAUCACCUCCUU
rnacentral:rRNA from 1 species